CUACAUACACCCAAUAACGAUUACUUUUCUCUACCUUCUCUAAUAAACACACAAUUAUUACAUUACUAUCUAGAAAUUACUACAUACUAUGACAUAUUCACUUCUAUCAUAAUUGGAUAUUACAGGGGAUAACUUAUUACUUAGAAAGAAAAUUUGAAGGAUAUGGGAAUUUAGAAACUACAGGCGAGCCAUGGUACUUAUUGAUGAAAAGGGAACUUUGAAAUGUGGAAGAAUCAAGUGAAUUGGUUUCGACAAAAUAUGAGUGAAGGCUUUGUGAUCACUAUCAGAAAUUGCAGAUGUUACUGGAUAGUGUAGACCAUUACAGUCUGAUUUUAAAAAAUAAUAUUCUUACGGAUAACGGUCAUCCAAAAGCUGCAGGAUGAUUCCAUUCACAUUCCGAAAAAUGGCUUCCAGUUUAUUAAGCCAAACAUUAUUCGCAUGAGGGUCAAUAACAUUAUCAUCUUAUUAGGUA